rnacentral:misc_RNA from 1 species
GAUGAAGAACGUAGCGAAAUGCGAUACUUGGUGUGAAUUGCAGAAUCCCGUGAACCAUCGAGUCUUUGAACGCAAGUUGCGCCCGAAGCCAUUAGGCCGAGGGCACGCCUGCCUGGGCGUCACACGUCGUUGCCCCCCCAUCUACUCCUUCUGGAUUGCGGGGGGCGGAUGAUGGCCUCCCGUGCGCCUCGCCGCGCGGUUGGCAUAAAUGCCAAGUCCUCGGCGACGCACGCCACGACAAUCGGUGGUUGCGAAACCUCGGUUGCCCGUCGUGUGCGGUCGUCGCGCAUCGAGGGCUCGAAAAAAGUGCCGGGUUCCGGCUCGGCUUUCAACGCGACCCCAGGUCAGGCGGGGUUACCCGCUGAAUUUAAGCAUAUCAAUAAGCGGAGGA